rnacentral:rRNA from 1 species
UACGUAGGCAGCGAGCGUUGUUCGGAAUUACUGGGCGUAAAGAGUGUGUAGGCGGUGCUCUAAGUUCGGUGUGAAAUCUCCUGGCUUAACUGGGAAGGUGCGCCGGAAACUGGAGUGCUCGAGCGUGGGAGAGGAAAGCGGAAUUCCUGGUGUAGCGGUGAAAUGCGUAGAUAUCAGGAGGAACACCUGUGGUGUAGACGGCUUUCUGGACCAUAGCUGACGCUGAGACACGAAAGCGUGGGUAGCAAACAGG